rnacentral:rRNA from 1 species
AACGAACGCUGGCGGCAUGCCUAACACAUGCAAGUCGAACGGGACCUUCGGGUCUAGUGGCGCACGGGUGCGUAACGCGUGGGAACCUGCCCUUAGGUUCGGAAUAACUCCCCGAAAGGGGUGCUAAUACCGGUUAAUGUCUUCGGACCAAAGAUUUAUCGCCUUUGGAUGGGCCCGCGGUGGAUUAGCUAGUUGGUAGGGUAAAAGCCUACCAAGGCGGCGAUCCAUAGCUGGUCUGAGAGGAUGAUCAGCCACACUGGGACUGAGACACGGCCCAGACUCCGACGGGAGGCAGCAGUGGGGAAUAUUGGACAGUGGGCGAAAGCCUGCUCCAGCGAGGCCGCGUGAGUGAUGAACGGCUUAGGGUUGUAAAGCUCUUUUGCCCGGGAUGAUAAUGCCGGAACCGGGAGAAUAAGCUCCGGCUACCUCCGG